rfam:Triticum aestivum genome assembly, contig: Triticum_aestivum_CS42_TGACv1_scaffold_112159_2AS
UUUAUACUCCCUCCGUCCGAAAGUAUUUGUCAUCAAAAUAAAUAAAAAGAAUGUAUCUAGAUGUAUUUUAGUUUUAGAUACAUCCCUUUUAUCCAUUUUAAUAACAAAUAUUUUCGCACGGAGGAAAUAUUAC